AGUGAACGCUGGCGGUAGGCCUAACACAUGCAAGUCGAACGGCAGCACAGUAAGAGCUUGCUCUUACGGGUGGCGAGUGGCGGACGGGUGAGGAAUAUAUCGGAAUCUACUUUUUCGUGGGGGAUAACGUAGGGAAACUUACGCUAAUACCGCAUACGACCUACGGGUGAAAGCAGGGGAUCUUCGGACCUUGCGCGAUUGAAUGAGCCGAUGUCGGAUUAGCUAGUUGGCGGGGUAAAGGCCCACCAAGGCGACGAUCCGUAGCUGGUCUGAGAGGAUGAUCAGCCACACUGGAACUGAGACACGGACCAGACUCCUACGGGAGGCAGCAGUGGGGAAUAUUGGACAAUGGGCGCAAGCCUGAUCCAGCCAUACCGCGUGGGUGAAGAAGGCCUUCGGGUUGUAAAGCCCUUUUGUUGGGAAAGAAAAGCAGCAGGUUAAUACCCCGCUGUUCUGACGGUACCCAAAGAAUAAGCACCGGCUAACUUCGUG
rnacentral:rRNA from 1 species